GUAUUAUGAUAUUAUAUAUUCAUUCACCCAAAACCGAAACGUGUAAUGUAAAGGGCGGGUGACCACAGGUCACCCUCACGGUGCACAAAGGGUUGAAAGCCAACGGGGCGAGCACGUGCCGCGUGAACGGCACAGCAUCAAGCCCCUUCAAAGAUACGGUAAUGAUCCUUCCGCAGGUUCACCUACGGAAA
rnacentral:misc_RNA from 1 species